UACAGAGGUCUCAAGCGUUGUUCGGAUUCAUUGGGCGUAAAGGGCGCGUAGGCGGCGGUAAGUCGGGUGUGAAAUCUCAGAGCUCAACUCUGAAACUGCACUCGAUACUGCUCUGCUUGAGGACUGGAGAGGAGACUGGAAUUCACGGUGUAGCAGUGAAAUGCGUAGAUAUCAGGAGGAACACCGAUGGCGAAGGCAGGUCUCUGGGCUGACACUGACGCUCAUGCACGAAAGCGUGGGGAGCAAACAGG
rnacentral:rRNA from 1 species